rnacentral:rRNA from 1 species
GACGAACGCUGGCGGCGUGCUUAACACAUGCAAGUCGAACGGAAAGGCCCUGCUUUUGUGGGGUGCUCGAGUGGCGAACGGGUGAGUAACACGUGAGUAACCUGCCCUUGACUUUGGGAUAACUUCAGGAAACUGGGGCUAAUACCGGAUAGGAGCUCCUGCUGCAUGGUGGGGGUUGGAAAGUUUCGGCGGUUGGGGAUGGACUCGCGGCUUAUCAGCUUGUUGGUGGGGUAGUGGCUUACCAAGGCUUUGACGGGUAGCCGGCCUGGGAGGGUGACCGGCCACAUUGGGACUGAGAUACUGCCCAGACUCCUACGGGAGGCAGCAGUGGGGAAUAUUGCACAAUGGGCGGAAGCCUGAUGCAGCAACGCCGCGUGCGGGAUGACGGCCUUCGGGUUGUAAACCGCUUUCGCCUGUGACGAAGCGUGAGUGACGGUAAUGGGUAAAGAAGCACCGGCUAACUACGUG